CUGUGGUCACUGGAGAUGUGCUGUGGAGGAGGAAGAGCACAGGCAGAGGCAGGAAGAACUACGCCCAGGCUGCCUGCAGCAACAGUGCCCAGAGGUCUGAUGUGUCUCUCACAGCUCCUGAUGGUGAGACCCUGAGGGCAGGAGGUGGGGGGCAUUGAGACCGAGGGGCAAAAUUGGGUUUUGGGGAUUCUCAGAGUGGGACAUUCUGAGCAUGUGGUGGAUGUGGGAGAAUGUGACACUUCUGACACUGACCUGAAUUUGUUCAUGACAACUUUCUUUCCCAGCAUGACAGGGCUGCUUUCUAGAGGGCUUGGUGCUAAAACAGUCACUACAGCCUCCCCUUGAGACUUUAAGGUUCCCUGACUGCUGUCUACACCCAGCAUCGGAAUGUUAUUUAAUCAUCUCAGUGUCCCUGCAUUAUUUUAAUAUUACUGAUAUAUGUAUAUAUAAGUAAAUCAGAAGUGAUUUAGAUUAAAAUCUCCAAGGUGUAUUUUUUCUGGUAGGUAUUAUUCUGUCUACACCUUCACCCUGUUUCUUAAGCUGUUCUAAGUCACUUUCUGUUCGUACACUUACCAUGAGGUGUGGAGACAACACAGGAGGGACAGACUGUGUGCCACAGGACAAGGGGACCUCACGGCUCCCCAGUGAUGUUCCCUGUGACCACUUGUGCUCCAUGGGCAAUUCAGGGUUUCUUCCCGCACAUCUAAAUGUGACCUUUUGUGCCUCUGGCUGUAGCUGGUUGAGUCCCCUGAUUCUAACCAAGUGCCACUUUGUAGACUAGGAGUCUCCCCAUGCUUCCAGGCCCCCCUCUUAUAUACAUCAGGGGUGUCCAUAUGGGGUCAGAGAGCUGACCAACUGAAGGUGAGAACACCUGCUUACAGCAGGAACUGUUCCAGUGUCCACUGUCCUUAAUCCACUGCAGACACUGUUCUCGUUCUGCAGAUGCUGAGUCCUGGAAGGUCAUGGCCAAGGAGCUGAAUUCCUUAGUGGCUUCCUCUGAGAGUUCUUCCCCAAGAGAGAGCCCUUGGGCCACAGGGUCAGUCUGGCUGCUGGGCUGAGGACAGAAUCAGGAGACAAGGGACCAGCGAGGCAGGAGGGAAAGGUGUGGGGAAGCUCCCAUGGUUCCAGGCUGCAGGAGCUGGGUGUUCUGAUGGGGCUGUGAGUGGUGGAAACAGUGGGAAGGGACUGGACCCUGAAUGCAUUUGGAAGAUGGAUUUCACAGCAUUUCCUAGUAAUUCAGUCUGGGGUGUGGGGAAGGAGUCAAGGAGGGCACCCCACAUUUGUACUGUGCCAGCAGAAAGGUGGGGUUAUAUCAGCAGAGAUGGGGAAGACUCUGUAGAGCAUGUGUGGGGGAGGGGUGGGCAUUUCAAGCUUUCAGCUGAAGAGAAGGUCAAGGUGAGAUUUCUGUUAGAAACACCAGUGAGGUGUCAGGUUGGACAGAUGAGUGUGGGGACCUUGAGGAGAAAUGUCUGGGCUGGAGACAGACUUGGGAGUGAUGCUAUGAAAAUGACAUUUAAAUCUGUGAGCAUGGAUGAGGCCACCAAGGGAGCCAGGACUGUGGAAGAGGAAGAACAAGGUCUGGACUCUACUUCCCUGUCCUGACAGUGGUGACAUUCACCUUGGUCACUCACCUCAGUUGAUGACAGCCAGGUCUCCCCAUCAUACAGUCACAAUUUGGUGUUUGUCAUUCUUUAGUAUUUUAGGGGGAGGUAUUCUGAGAUUGUCCUGCUGUGCUCUUCACCACUUCUACACUCACCCCUCCUUAGCCUCUCUCAUAACUUCCACCCAAGUCAGCGAAAAUAUGAUGGUUGUCCUAUAUUAGCCAUCAACAUUGAUUAGUAGGGUCUAAGCAAAAUAUAGCUUAAGAAAUACAAUCAAUAAUAUUGUUGUGACUACAUAUGUUGUCAGAUGGCUACUAGAUUUAUCGGGGAGAUUACUUAGUAAGCAAUAUAAAUGUUUAAUCACUGAUUUAUAGCUGAAACUGAUAAAUAUUAUAUGGCAACUAUCUUAAAAAAUAAAAAAUUAUUUAAAGUUUUUAAAAAUGCUAACUUGGACUUCUUGCCCAGCAUUCCAAUAGAAGUUUGGGGGAGAAAUUCAAGUAUUUUGUGUCAAGCCUACAAGGAAUCCUGGUCUCAGACAGAUUUGGAUCCACACAAGUCAUUGAUGAGCUAGGGCCCAGGCUGGGGAAGGGACUUAAAUCCACAUUUAAAUGUCUUGUGUUUCUGGGGAAGGAAAGGUGGUUCAUAUGUUGUCAUAUGAUAUGAAAGGUGCAGUGUUUUCUCUACCGUGGGGGAAAGUCAGGCAAAAGAUGACAAAGUGGCUCUAAGUUCAACAUCAUGAAAAUCUCCAAAUGCUCCCUCUCUGCAAUUAUUCCCCUGAUUGAUUUCUGGAGCAAAUAAGAGAACCCAACAAUGUCCACUUUAAACACAGAAAGAUUUCUAUGUGGGAUAUUGGGGGCUCAUUUUAUUUCAGGAGAAGCCACAGAACAGAGCUGAGGCCGUGAACUGUGAGACAUGUGGGACCAGAACCCACAGGGAGACCAGCCCCGGGUCACAGGGAUGACAGUGUGAGGGACUUGGGGAUGGGGUUCUGAGAAGAGAAGGAGCUGAAAGAAAGGGCCCAGCAGGAAACACCGAGACUGGAGCUCCUGGUGCAGAUGUCCCUGCACCCCUGUGACAAUGUGACUCUAAGUCAGCUCCACCCAGGGAACAAGGGACACUUCCUCUGCCUCCUGCCUGCUGCUCCUGAGGGCAUCUCAGUGAUGCCCAUCUCUGUCCCCAGUCUCUAGAUGUGGCUGAGGGCACCAUCCUGUGGUCAUGUCCUGAUGUCACACCAAUUGUCCUCAGGGUCUGGCCCAGGGUCUCCAUGGUGCUUCUCCUGCACAGACACCACAGAGGCUGCAGCACAUUCACAUCCCUGCGGCUGCUACCAAUGCCCUCCAGUGACCAGAGCCACCCACACCUUGCUGAUGCUGGUGGUCACCUGUGCCACCUCCUACCUGCUCAAUUCCAUUUUUACACUGACAUCACUGUCCUUUUAGACUCUCAUCGGUGGUUGUUGCAGCCAGACAAGGUUUUGGUUUCAUUUCCCCAGCAUCAGCCCCUCCCUGCUGGUCCUCAGGGACCUGGAAUUCCUGGAGAUGUUCUUGUGGUGUGGAAACCACAGUUGAGAUGGUGAAUACAACGUCAGCUUCAACAGUAACUUUAAUUGCUUUACUCAAUAAUUAUUUACUCAGUUCCAUUUCUUAGAUAAAAUCCACAACGAUCUUGGAAGCUCAGUUUGAAACUGGUGCUUCACUGGAAGAUCUUCAGGUCAAUCCAGAAUACGAUCACCUUGAUAAAGAUCCAUAAAAUUAUAAAAGAAAUAUGUUUCCCCACUGACCAGGGCAGCUGUUGAAGAGAAUCUCCUGUCUUUAGGAACAUUGAAGUGUUUCCAGAAAUUUCAUUUUGAUGUGAAUGUGGACAAUACCUGUCCCAAAAAAUUAUGCAGAUUUUAUCCCCUUGAUAAAGGCAAUACUAGGAAAUGGAGAUGUGCUUUCUACAUUAUUUUGUGUCUUUAUUUUUUCAUAUCUCUCGCAUUUGCUGGUGUGCUACACAUAAAAUAAGGGUCGUUCCAAUGAGGUGCUACUUUCCACAUGUGAAGAUUUCUUUA